CCCCAGCUCUGGCACCGCAGGGUGUCCCCUUCACACACCCAGCAAUCAACAGAUCUACAUGUCGGGGAAAAGGUCGAAGCUGUGUUCAGCAGACGGCGCCUGCGAGGCGUCUUGGCGGCUAAGCUCGGCUGCUUCAGCCAGUGCCGGGCAACGCAGCCCGCGGCCACCUGUCCCCGCCCAGAGACGUCCGGUCAACAAGCGACUCGUUCUGAGGACGCUGUCAGGAGGCUUGCAGACGCCACUCCAAGCUUAACAGGCGAGGAAAGUCACAGCUACUGGAUUCUGUGCAAAAACCCAAGUAUUUCCACCCAAAAACAGAGUCGCAUUCCCACCCAAAGUCCACUUGCUUGCAAAAGGCCGAGCAAAUCUAAACACCGGCACUCCGGUGGCUUCAGAGUGCGCUCCUCAGAGCAGGACUGCGCGGCAGGCAGACCCCACAGCACACGCGUCGUCACGCAGACCCCACAGCACACGCAUCACGCAGACCCCACAGCACGCGCAUCGUCACGCAGACCCCACAGCACACGCGUCGUCACGCAGACUCCCACAGCACACGCAUCGUCACGCAGACCCCACAGCACACGCGUCGUCACGCAGACCCCACAGCACACGCAUCGUCACGCAGACCCCACAGCACACGCAUCGUCACGCAGACUCCCACAGCACGCGCAUCGUCACGCAGACCCCACAGCACGUGCGUCGUCACGCAGACCCCACAGCACGCGCAUCGUCACGCAGACCCCACAGCACGCGCAUCAUCACGCAGACCCCACAGCACACGCGUCGUCACGCAGACCCCACAGCACGCGCGUCGUCACGCAGACCCCACAGCACACGCGUCGUCACGCAGACCCCACAGCACGCGCAUCAUCACGCAGACCCCCACAGCACACGCGUCGUCACGCAGACCCCACAGCACGCGCGUCGUCACGCAGACCCCACAGCACACGCGUCGUCACGCAGACCCCACAGCACGCGCGUCAUCACGCAGACCCCACAGCACACGCAUCACGCAGACCCCACAGCACGCGCAUCGUCACGCAGACCCCACAGCACACGCGUCGUCACGCAGACCCCACAGCACGCGCGUCAUCACGCAGACCCCACAGCACACGCGUCGUCACGCAGACCCCACAGCACACGCGUCGUCGGGCUCAGUGAACACGCCUGAUGAACGGGGCGCUGACCCCUGGGGGCCAGGGUCUCCCCAGAGCCACGGCCCUUCCUGGCCAGCACCAAUCAGCUCUCAGAUGGCAAAACGGCCAAGGCCAAGGCCUACACGCUCAAGCGGCUCUGCCACACCAGGCACGGCCUUCAAAAAUCACUACUGUGUGCGUCUGGAAAACACGAAACGUACGUAAUGACGCCUACUAACACGCACAAACAGCUUAGCUGCGUGCGUGCAAACAGCCACCGUGACUCCACAGACCCCUCAGACGCCCGACAGCGGGCGCAACAACUCACGCCUGCGCCACGGCUAGGAUCCCGAAGAGCUGACCAGAAGCGCGCGCUGGGGGAAGUGGUGGUGGGGACCCUCACCCCGCUGCUGGGAGCCAAAGUGGUGGCCUCCACUGAACGCGGGCCGGCAGUUCCUGCAGCUACCCUGGGACCCACCGAGCCCCCUCCGGGCCUAUGCCCACGGCUGAAGCAGGUCUCGGGCACUGCACGGCCACGGCCGCGUCGCCACAGCCCACGGGAACGGGAACGGACG
rnacentral:lncRNA from 1 species